CUUUGAUUCCCUUAUGCAGUUUUUCAUUGAGUUUUAGUCACUUAAUACUGAUUUUUGGUCACUUUAUUAACUUUUUUCUAUUUUUAUUCACUUUCUAUUUGCUUUUUAGUCACUUUUUUCAGGUUUUCGGGGUUUUUUUCCCCAUUUGUAUUCACUUCUGUUCGCAUUUAUUCACUUUUUAUUGAGGCAUAAAUACUCACUUUUACUCAAUUUUUUAUUUGCCUGAAUUCACUUUUAAUCGCUUUUUAUUCAGCUGUGUAGGGAACACCUGGUUUCAAUAAGAGCUCAUGAGGCAGAGGGAGGUUUAAAGCUUUGUUUGAAUAAAGGGAGAUCUCCACCAGACACACCUGGUUCAGGGUUCUCCAUUUGCAGUCAGUAUCCACCUAUUUGAUACUUGCCCUGCAUGCAAAGUGCCUCCUCCUUUUUCCUUUGCCUCAGAUCCUCCGAGCCAUUCUACUGUGCAUAAGGGGCAGUUCCCAUGAGAUGGGUGAGUUUCACAAGGUUAAGCAAGUUCUGCAAGGUUUAAUAAGUUCUCGCUUUAUUGACACUGUUUCUUUUUCAUAGAACCACAGGGCUUUUGUAAGAUUCUGCACUUUGUCCCUGUUGUCAGCAGGUUGUGUAUUUUUGGCAAGGCCACAGCUGUUCUCUACAAGCUUUAUGCACAUUUUUGUCACUCUUCAGCUCCCAUGUACUUGCUUUGGAUUUGCUUUUACUUCACUUUUAUGCUGUUUUUUUCAGAUGUAUUUGCUUUUUAGUUCCUUUGAGUGAUCUUCAAUUCAGUUUUAUUCACUUUUCUUGGAGAUUUAUUCAGAUUUAUUCCCUUUUCUUCUUUUUCAUUCACGUUUAAUUGACUUUUAUUCACUUUCAUUGGUGUUUAUUCCCUUUUCAGCUUUAUGCCUGUUGUAUUUAACUGCAGUCCAGUUUAAUGGAGCUGGAGCGACUGCACCGGGCACGGCCCACGCCCCAGGAUGCUCAGGUCCAGGGGCUGGGGCCCUCAGGAUGGACCUGAGCCCCCCGCGAAGUCGUGGGGUCAUAUUUAGAGGAGAAUGGACAUAUGAUGAACCAGCCAUAUGA
rnacentral:lncRNA from 1 species